ACCUCAUCCGGGCACCAUGUGCCAGGUCACGCCCGGGCAAGGCAACGUCCAUCUCUAGGGGUCGGGACCGAGGGAGGGCUUCAUCAUACGGGCACCUGCCAAAAGAGGGGCGAAACUCACAGAUGAACAUCUGAUCUGAAACACUGCUGUUGCUAUCUGCUAUCUUCUUGUCUGCGUCCUAUUUCCUCCAGACACUUAGCACGGAGCUGCGCAGAACCCUGGCACAGUGCUGCUUCUUCUGGAACACCGCGGAACUGUGCACGAGCAGAUAAGGGCCAGUCCUCGGAGCCCAACAGCCCAAGGAGGAGUGUGCCGUGCUUCAUACGGGUCCGUCUGGAGGAACAGGCUAAACCAGUCGAACAGGAAUCCCACCUCCCCUCCCCAGCGGGGCACCUCCAAAACACGGGCCUCAGGGAACACUGAACAAACAGAAGGGUGAUAAGAGAUAUAGACCAGCAGCACGGGGGCUGGAUAAGGGGGGGCCUCAACACGGUGCUUAUUGUUACUUGAGAGGAGAUCUCGAGUCUGUGAUAAAAUGCUGUGUAGAGAUAUUAACGGGCGAAUGCUUUCUUGAAGGGUCAUUUCAAAUCUCACCGCUCUGACUUUUUCUCAGUUCAUGACACUGACACUGAGCUCUUUGUCAUUCUUCCUUAAGAGGAGAUCUAAAGUCUGUGAUAAGAUCCGGUGCAGAUGUUAACGGGCCAGUGGUUUCAUGAAGGGUAAUUUUAAAUCUCACUGCUCCCACGUUUACUCAGUUUAUGAUUAUGCGGUAUAAUCAUCCAUCUAACUAAUUGCUCAAAUGAGUUUCACUGAAUCUGACAAAAAAAAUAUAUAUAUCUUUGAAAUGUACUGACUUAUCUUCCCAAAACCUUUUCAAAAUACAUGGGUGCCAACA